rnacentral:rRNA from 1 species
AUGGUGUGUUUUCUGAAUUUUGGUUUGAAAGAUGAUUUUGUGAGUUCAAGCUUUUGUGCGAUUCCUGAUGUUGUGUUCCUGCCAAAUGACAUAGGUCCUGCACUGAAUUUUUCUGAUGCUAUAAUCAUGGCAGGAGCUUUGUACUGGGAAAGUAUGUCAGAAUUAUCUAGAAUUGAUGGACUUCAGUUGGUGUUUCUUUGCUGGAUGGAAUUAGAUUUGUGGAUAUAUCAGUUUAUGGGUGGCUACUUCAUUGGUGAAUUCACCUGCUAUAUGAACACUAUUUUUAAUAAAUGGUGUGCAGCUAGAGAUGUAUAA